GCAGGGAGCUCGGCCACAAUGUUGUACUGGGCUGUAUGCACUACCCUAUGUAAUGCCCUGCAGUUGGAUGCCAAGCAGUCAAUUGUGGUUGCGAUUGAUAUCUCUAUAUAUUUCGUUUUCAUCAUUUUGUAAGUAACUCCCCAAAACUCAUUCAUAAAACGUUUUAAUUUCCAAAUGUACUACACUCUAAAAAUGAGGGAUUCAACUGGAGUUCUUCUAAGAUCCUUAAAGGUCCCCGAAGAACAUUAGGGUUCUUGACAAUGAAUAACAACCCCAAAAGGCUAUUCAAAGAACUUCUUAGGUGGUGGGGUUCAUCGAGGAACCCCCAUUGUUGCUGGAGGUCUUCAGGGAACUGAAAACGCUCAUGCCAAGUUUGAAUGCGACAACAGUUCGGUUGAUGUUUGGCUCUGAAUAUGUAUUGAAAUAAUGUAUAUAAUAAUAUAAAAUACUAAUGAAUAACGAAGAAAAUUAUGGUCUUCUGUGAAUAGCUUCCAUAACGUUACUAUAGCUAUAGUUCAGAAGAAUUAACGUAAAUAUUAGAAAACCGGGUUUGACCGUUGGCAUUGUAUGAGCUACAGUACAGUAACUUUAGCUAGCUAGCUAAUGUUAUGUCCUAACUAGGCAGAACUAGAUUUGUAUUAUUUCCUGAAGUAUAUUCUCUCCCAUAUAUUGUAUAUCGUUUCCAUGAAGCCAACAUGGCUUUACACUCUUUAAAGUAAGUUUCCAAUCUAGAGCAGUUCUCACUUUUGUGAGAAUUAACUAGUUAACGUUAGCUUCGUUGACGUUAGCUAGCUAGCUAACCAACUAACUAAGGAUGGUGACAUGUCCAGACAAGAUGUUACAACGAACUGAAUCGUCAAUGGAGGUCUUCCUCUUUAUAUAGCCUGGUACAGCAUUCAAUACUAUUAACUCACAAGGAGGCAUAACAUUUAAUGUACAAUACUAUCCCAUUUUGGAAACAUUACAUGUAUGCCCCCUUGUGAAGAGAAAAUGAAUAGCUUAGGUGGUAGCUGUAGUUGGGAUUCAAAUGUAUAAUGGUAUUAAUACAGUGCCUAGACUACCUCUUUUGUAUAUAUGCAUGCCCUUCUGAAUCCAAACACAGUAUUGCCACGCAGCAAAAUGUUGCGUAUAAUCUUUCAAGUCAGCCUGAUAAAAUACUGAAGAAUUUGUGUACAAAGAUAGCUUGAAAUUUGACAUUAGACCUGUAUGGCAGUAGUUAUACUGUAUGGCAGUGCUGUAUUAGCAAGUGCUUUCUCCAAUAUGUUCUUCUAUUUUGCAUUCAAUUAUAUGUCGAUGCAAUUUAUCUUUCAAUAUUUAUUUAAUAUAUAUAUAUAUAUUUUUUUUUAUGCUUGUAAGACUAUUCUUUGACACAUUUUCUCUUCCUUUGAAAUUAUUAUAGGAAAGAACAUGGACACAAUGCAUUUGGGAUCAAGAAGAAGAUCUUCGCAGAAAUUAAUCAAGUCCAUGUAAUGGAUAUAGACAAAAAGAUAAUUCAAGGACUAUCAGAGGUAGAGACGAGGCAGGGGUGAGGACAUCAUCCUUGCUAUUUUGACAGUCCCUGUAGGACAAUACAGAAGAGGACUCGAGACCACAGCAGCGAUCCUGCUCUUGCCCUACUUCUUCAAAGAGGACCAGAGUGGCCUUUGCACAAAUGAUCUGUUUCUUCAUAAACAUAGGUUUCACCGCUCUUCACUCCUUUACUGCACAUUGGCGGAAAUCCAUUUCACCAUGAGAGUGAAAUCCCGCUGGCCUUUGAUGGGGAGAACAUCCACGCCCUAGAGGACAUCCCCAUGGGACUUGGGGCUCUGUUAGGGCUGUAUUUUUUAUUUUCCCUUAAAAUUCCCCAAAAUGUCAGAAAAAUACUUAUGUUCUUAAGUUACUGUGUUAAGACAAUUUGUGGUGAAGUUACCAGGGCCGGUCAUAAAGAUGACAAACUUCCUAACAUAACUAACUGGUUGUUGGGCAAGUGGUUGUUAGACACACACACACACACACACACACACACACACACACACACUAAAGCUAAAAAAUCUGUAUUUAGCAAGUCUACAACCAUAAUAAAUAAUACAUUAACUUUGUAUAGUGCUUUUCAUUACAUUUCAAAUGUUUUUUAAUAAUGAUGUACAAUAAAAACAACAUACAUUAAAAAUGAGUCAUAGGUAAACUAACAACUAGUAAACUAGCAAUUUUGUAGUGUGUUUUCUUUGGUAAAUUGUUUUGUAAAUAUUAUUUCACAUUUGUGGUGCCACUAAAUAAACAAUUAAUUAUUUAAUAUUGUUAUUAUUUUUAAAAUAUGCAGAUGCAGAUGAAUUAGCUACCUGACCCAUGAAAAAAGUCACAGCGGGGCUGAUGGAAACAGGAUGUGCCGAUAGAAUUGUAAAAAUACCGACAGACAAUUUGUUCGUUCGACAUGGUGGGAUCUUUUUGUGUCGGCAAAAGUAAUUAUGCGUGAAAUUGCGGUGGAAACGGAUUUAUGCGCAAAUAUUGAUACAGUAUAAUAGGCUAUACCUAUCACGCGAUUAUAUGUUGUUUGGUCCUCCCUCUACGACUCCGGAAACUAUGCAGUUUAUUAGGUUACAGAUGAAAUAAAUGAUGAACUUUACAGUGUGGUAAAAGUGCACGUGAUGAGCUUGAUGCUCCUUUCCAAUAAAUAUCAAGGGUCUUAUUCUGGUGACAUGUUAAUGGUUGUGACUGCCGUUUGACAAAUAAAAAUAAUAUGCUCUUA